GCUUCAAGUUGUUUGCUCUCAGGCGACAGAAAACAACCUCCAGCCUCCUUAACGACUCCUCCUCAGACGGUGCAAAUACCAACAGGUCGUCUAGAUAGCAGAGGAGGCUGGAAAACUGAGGAACGAUCACAUGCUAAAGCAGCUUGGGGAAAACGGACAGCAAAUGGUGUAGCAUCAGCUGACAACGUAGCACUAGGCGUUUGAGCACCAAGCUGAGGAAGACAAGAGAGAACAGGGCCUGCAGACGAACCAAGAGUCCUAUUUGUAGUGACCAUCGGCUUCCUAAGACUUGCAACACGGUUAUCAAGGCGGCUCUGGACCUCAGCAGUAGUCCACUCCUCCACAGGUUUCAGCUGGAAGGAAAAAGCUAGACCGGGAUCAGGACAAUGGUUGAUGAACAUUGUAACAACUUCAGCUCCUGGAUCCUCCACCUGCUUCCCCCUCCUACGCAAACACUCAUCAGCCGCUUCAAUAGACUUGUUAAGUCGAAUCCAGUAGUCCAUGGCUGUCUCUCCAUCAGCAGGCAGGAUGUUAUAGAAGUCUCUCAUCGGCAAACUGGAGAAGAUCAGCUCACCAAAGUUGCGUUUCAAAAUAUCAAAAACAGUAGAAACCAACUUGUCACUACAUGACUGAGGCUGGCAACGAAGCGACACCUGAACCACAUCUCUGGCUUUCCCAAUAAGUCUGGAUGUGAUGAUCUCACACAUUUCUACAGGGUCCACACAUCUCAUCCUUGACAGAUAGCAUCUCAUCAAACCCUCCCAUUCCUGGAUGGAGAAGGUGUCAGAGUGGUCACCUUUGAAAUAUGGAGGUGCUCUAAUAUCAGACUGAACAACAAACCUCACUUGUGACUGAUCGGUCAGGUCGCUGGGUUGGCUGUCAGCAACCUGAGACUGUGACUGACUUUGUGGGUUUAGUCCAUUGAGAUUCGUCGUAAUGGCGUCCCCAAUCUGCUUAGCCAGAUCAGCAAUCACCCCACUGAGAGCCUCAGUAGAAACAAGUUGGGUAGGGUCAGACCUUGCUUUGCCAAUGGGUGUAGAAGCAGCAGCAGGGACAGGUGGGGGGUUAAUCCCAAGCUGAUCAACAGAAAAGUCAUAUGGACUAAAAGGCAUAGGUCUACCCCUUCCAAAUGACAUGUAAUGUUGGCCCCUCCCCAAACUAAAAGUGACCUUCCGGUCCACUUCAUCACCUUUAAAAGGUACCUCAGUGUCAGACAUUUCAUCAAACAAUAACAGACAAAAACUAUGGAAAAUAACAGUGGAUCAAAAAGAAGCGAUGUCAAAAAUAAAAUGCAGAUACCCAAACAGUGUAAAAACAAAUCAGUCACACAAGAACUCAUAUGCAACAGUCAGCAAAAGAAACAAAAAAACAACCAGCCUUAUCUACAGGUAAAGGGUAAUAAACAGACUGGUUUCAUGUCUUUACAUUUUGUUUAUUAUUAUUAUUAUUUGUUGAUUGUACUGUUUUAAGAUUGAUUUUAUUGUCCCAAAACACACAAAAAAACUUUUAUAAAAUUAAAAAACUUUUUCAAUUAUUCUUCACUUAUUUCCCCUCUUCACUUGUAUAAAA